UUUAUCUGAAAGCACUGCUGAAAAUAAUAUCGUUCGAAAGUUAAUUCUGUCGAUAUCAACAAACGACACGUGAUUCAUAACCUAGAAAUUUUCAACGCGAACCUAUUUCUAUAUCGUUACGAAAUACAUAGCACCUUAAAAUUAGCAACGUUACACUUCGACUUAUUGGGAGAAAGUAAUAUCGAUAAUAUUCUUAAAACUGGUAUUUAAUAUUUUAUUAUCGAAUAAUCGAAUAAUCGAAGAAUAAUCGUCUCGGCAUUAAUAUUUUCGAUACUUCGUAUCGCAAAAUUGUAUUGCAAACAAUCCUUGCAUUUAUAACCUCUCCUCUUUCAAAUCCAUCUGUAAUUGAAAUAUUCGAAUAUUCUUUUACAUCUAAUGUAAUUUGAUUUAAUUAACUUAGAAUAUAUAUACGGAUAAAACAAGGGAUAUUAUAUCGUUACAAAACGAAUCCAUCAAUUGAAAAUUCUUUAUUUGACGAGGUUUAAAAAGUGACACGCAACUUUCCCUUCGAUCUAAUACGAAACGGAUUCGAUGUAUAUAUAUUCGAGCGUUGUCAACUCGAGAGAGCGAUAAGUAAAAAAAAAAAAAAAAGAAAAAAGAAAUCGAGUGGUCUCGAAGAUCGUAUCUACGCGAAAUAUGAAAUAAUAAAGGAUCGGAAUAUGGAAAGUAAUUAGGUUGCAAGUUAUAGUCUCAAAAGUAUUUAAAUGUAUGCGUUUUGUGAAAAAUUAGAUUGGAAUUGAAAUAGUUGUCUGAAACGCAGCAUGCGUUAUUGAAACCGGCUUGUAUAUUGUUAAAUAAUUUCUCGAAGUAAAGUACAUUUAAAAUUGAAUACGCGUUGACAAAAACUUGAUCCGUUCUCUUUAUUCGUUUUAUGGAAAUUUAUAUGUUGGAAAUAUCGAGCGCGUAGAGAUAAAUUAUCCUGAAAAUAAAUCUUUCAUUGUCCAUUGGAUGGGUUCAAAGAAUCACGACCUAAAUAUUUAAAGAAGGAAAUAAAAAAAAACUCACGUGUCAAAGAUCAAAGUGUUAAACAGCCAGAAGAUUUUUAAAAUAUUUUUGAAAUUAACUGUAUAUACUGUCGAUUGAUUAGUCUUAAAACACGUUUUCAAAUGUUUGAAUAUAUUCUACCAAACUUUGAAAUCACUUGGCAUAUCUGAUUGGAUCGCGAGCGAAAUGAAAUCGGCCUCUCGACGUAAUUAGAAGCUAUUAGACACACAUGGUGAUCGCGUGAAAUCUACAAAUCGUUCGAUUUUAUUCCAAGUUCGAUACGGAGAAUAAUUUAAAUAAAAAAAUCAGCAUGGUAGAGUUAUCUUUAGAUGUUUUUCGUGAUGAUUUUUCUCGAAUGACUGAAAAUGAUACGUAUACUUUUAUUUUUUUCUCUCUUUUAUCGAAAUCUAAUUUUUCGAUUCACAAAAUGUAAUUGUGAAACUACAUUCGAUACGAGAUGUAACGAUUUUAGUUUGAAAAAUAUGAUACACUUUCAUUAAUC